rnacentral:rRNA from 1 species
CUGGCGGCGUGCUAACACAUGCAAGUCGAACGCGGUCCAUCCGGUGGCAACACUGGUGAAGACUGAGUGGCGAACGGGUGAGUAACACGUGAGUAACCUGUCCCGAAGACCGGGAUAAGCCUGGGAAACCGGGUCUAAUACCGGAUGCCCCCACCGGGCCGCAUGACCUGGUGAGGAAAUGGAUUCCGCUUCGGGAGGGGCUCGCGGCCUAUCAGCUUGUUGGUGGGGUAACGGCCCACCAAGGCGUCGACGGGUAGCUGGUCUGAGAGGACGAUCAGCCACACUGGGACUGAGACACGGCCCAGACUCCUACGGGAGGCAGCAGUGGGGAAUCUUGCGCAAUGGGCGAAAGCCUGACGCAGCAACGCCGCGUGAGGGACGAAGGCCUUCGGGUUGUAAACCUCUUUCAGCAGGGACGAUUGUGACGGUACCUGCAGAAGAAGCCCCGGCCAACUACGUGCCAGCAGCCGCGGUAAUACGUAGGGGGCGAGCGUUGUCCGGAUUCAUUGGGCGUAAAGAGCUCGUAGGCGGCUUAGCAAGUCGGGUGUAAAACCUCCAGGCUCAACCUGGAGACGCCACCCGAUACUGCUAUGGCU